CCCUUAGAUGUCCUGGGCCGCACGCGCGCUACACUGAGUGUCUGAGAUACGAGUCUGCCUGGUCCGGCAAGGUCUAGGUAAUCGCUAAAAGACACAUCAUGCUUGGGAUAGAUUAUUGCAAAUAUUAAUCUUGAACGAGGAAUUCCUAGUAAGCGCAAGUCAACAGCUUGCGUUUAUUACGUCCCUGCCCUUUGUACACACCGCCCGUCGCUACUACUGAUUGGAUGUUUAAGCGAGGUUCUCGAACUGCUAGCGACUUAGCUUCGGUGAGGUCGCAGUGCGGGAAGUGAACCUAGCUUUGGUGUCUAGAGGAAGUAAAAGUCGUAACA
rnacentral:rRNA from 1 species